UUUGGGGUGGUUAAAUCCGGAUGUUCCACAUGAUCGCAUGUGAUUGUGGGAAAGAUUCUAUCGGCGUGGGAUGGGGUCGCGUCCUAUCAGCUUGUUGGUGAGGUAACGGCUCACCAAGGCUUCGACGGGUAGCCGGCCUGAGAGGGCGACCGGCCACAUUGGGACUGAGAUACGGCCCAGACUCCUACGGGAGGCAGCAGUGGGGAAUAUUGCACAAUGGGCGCAAGCCUGAUGCAGCGACGCCGCGUGAGGGAUGGAGGCCUUCGGGUUGUAAACCUCUUUUGUUUGGGAGCAAGCCUUCGGGUGAGUGUACCUUUCGAAUAAGCGCCGGCUAACUACGUGCCAGCAGCCGCGGUAAUACGUAGGGCGCAAGCGUUAUCCGGAUUUAUUGGGCGUAAAGGGCUCGUAGGCGGCUCGUCGCGUCCGGUGUGAAAGUCCAUCGCUUAACGGUGGAUCUGCGCCGGGUACGGGCGGGCUGGAGUGCGGUAGGGGAGACUGGAAUUCCCGGUGUAACGGUGGAAUGUGUAGAUAUCGGGAAGAACACCGAUGGCGAAGGCAGGUCUCUGGGCCGUCACUGACGCUGAGGAGCGAAAGCGUGGGGAGCGAACAGGAUUAGAUACCCUGGUAGUCCACGCCGUAAACGGUGGACGCUGGAUGUGGGGCACGUUCCACGUGUUCCGUGUCGGAGCUAACGCGUUAAGCGUCCCGCCUGGGGAGUACGGCCGCAAGGCUAAAACUCAAAGAAAUUGACGGGGGCCCGCACAAGCGGCGGAGCAUGCGGAUUAAUUCGAUGCAACGCGAAGAACCUUACCUGGGCUUGACAUGUUCCCGACGACGCCAGAGAUGGCGUUUCCCUUCGGGGCGGGUUCACAGGUGUGGGCAUUGGUCAUCAGCACUAUUACACCACCA
rnacentral:rRNA from 1 species